rnacentral:rRNA from 1 species
CAGCAGCCGCGGUAAUACGAGGGGAGCUAGCGUUGUUCGGAAUUACUGGGCGUAAAGCGCGCGUAGGCGGCUUUUUAAGUCAGAGGUGAAAGCCCGGGGCUCAACCCCGGAAUUGCCUUUGAAACUGGAAAGCUAGAAUCUUGGAGAGGUCAGUGGAAUUCCGAGUGUAGAGGUGAAAUUCGUAGAUAUUCGGAAGAACACCAGUGGCGAAGGCGACUGACUGGACAAGUAUUGACGCUGAGGUGCGAAAGCGUGGGGAGCAAACAGGAUUAGAUACCCCCGUAGUCCCUGUCUCUUAUAC